rnacentral:rRNA from 1 species
AUGGCGACCCCUCCAUGCGCUGGUGACGACGACCCUCACGGAAACGGCGGCGCCGUCGUGAGCUCUCCCUGCGCCGGCGACGCGGACGUGCUCGUCGUCCCUCGCGGAACCAACAGCAACAGCCACAUAAUGAUGUCCACCGUCUCCACCACAAACCUGCCAACACGGCAACGCCGGCGUCGGCGGCAAGCCAGCCAUCUCCCCAUGGCGACCUUGCAGAUUUCUAGUCAUUCUGACAUUCGGAGAUGUGAACAUUCAGAGAUCAUUAGACAAAAACAUUCAGAGUUCUGUGAUCACAGUAUCUAUGCGUUGUGA